UACGGGGGGAGCAAGCGUUGUUCGGAUUUACUGGGCGUAAAGGGCGCGUAGGCGGCCACCGCAAGUCGACUGUGAAAUCUCCGGGCUUAACCCGGAAAGGUCAGCCGAUACUGCGGGGCUAGAGUGCAGAAGGGGCAACUGGAAUUCUCGGUGUAGCGGUGAAAUGCGUAGAUAUCGGGAGGAACACCAGUGGCGAAGGCGACUUCCUGGCCUGUUCUUGACGCUGAGGCGGCGAAAAGCUAGGGGAGCAAACGGGGAUUAAG
rnacentral:rRNA from 1 species